UUUUGACAUACUGGUAGUAGCCUACAAUGAAGAAAACUGAUGCUCUGAAUACUGAUUCAGCCGUCUCUAAAAGUUUCUCUAAUUGACACAUUUAACCGGAAUUUGGAUUACACCUGCUUUUAACAGGCAGAAGUUUUUCACUGCAAAACAGAUGUGCGCUGUUUUCAUACAUAUGG